CAAUGUGGAGACUAUAUACAGGGUAUUACGGUACAGAGUCAAUGUGGAGACUAUAUACAGGGUAUUACGGUACAGAGUCAAUGUGGAGGCUAUAUACAGGGUAUUACGGUACAGAGUCAAUGUGGAGGCUAUAUACAGGGUAUUACGGUACAGAGUCAAUGUGGAGACUAUAUACAGGGUAUUACGGUACAGAGUCAAUGUGGAGGCUAUAUACAGGGUAUUACGGUACAGAGUCAAUGUGGAGGCUAUAUACAGGGUAUUACGGUACAGAGUCAAUGUGGAGGCUAUAUACAGGGUAUUACGGUACAGAGUCAAUGUGGAGGUUAUAUACAGGGUAUUACGGUACAGAGUCAAUGUGGAGGCUAUAUACAGGGUAUUACGGUACAGAGUCAAUGUGGAGGCUAUAUACAGGGUAUUACGGUACAGAGUCAAUGUGGAGGCUAUAUACAGGGUAUUACGGUACAGAGUCAAUGUGGAGGCUAUAUACAGGGUAUUACGGUACAGAGUCAAUGUGGAGACUAUAUACAGGGUAUUACGGUACAGAGUCAAUGUGGAGGCUAUAUACAGGGUAUUACGGUACAGAGUCAAUGUGGAGGCUAUAUACAGGGUAUUACGGUACAGAGUCAAUGUGGAGACUAUAUACAGGGUAUUACGGUACAGAGUCAAUGUGGAGGCUAUAUACAGGGUAUUACGGUACAGAGUCAAUGUGGAGGCUAUAUACAGGGUAUUACGGUACAGAGUCAAUGUGGAGGCUAUAUACAGGGUAUUACGGUACAGAGUCAAUGUGGAGGUUAU